UCUUUCAUUUCCCCAGUGUCCUGGAGAGGAGACUUACUGCUAUCAUCCCCAUUUUACAGAAGCUGAAGAAAUCCGGGAAGUCUGGAGCACACAUCCCCUCACCAUCAGGGCAGAAGGCCUACUGGUUGCCAUGGAGACGCAGUGUGCAGCUGGAUGGUGAGUGUGUGAGAGGAGCUGUGUGUGCUCUGCAGCACGGGGUGGGGUGGGGGUGCCGGUUGCUGCGUGUGAAACGUACCCAUGUGCAAGAAAUCUUUCUUCGAGGUUUCUUUCCCUGAAGGGAGACCCAGACCAAGGGGGAGACACCCAAAAGGCCCCAAUGAUCCUAAAACCCUUGGUGAUAUUCAUCAGGGACACAUCCUCCCCCGAAGCCCCUGCAGGUCAGAUACUAAAUUCUGUUCAGUCCAGACUCUGGGCCGGCAGAUUCUGGAGGGGCCCCAACCUGCCCCUCCUGUCUGAGGAGAGGAUUGGGAACCCUGGGAAAGGAGCAGGAGUGGGCAGAGGACUUUCCUGUACAGAACAGCUGGAGUACAGAUUAAGCUGUGCAGAUGGACCUACUGAUGAGGCCAGCAACCCCCCAACACCACUCCAGGGGCUGCGGGUGGGGAGGAAGUUGGACCAGCAAGCUGGAAAAUCCCCUCCAUUUCUAUACAUCUUACCCUGUAUUUGUCCAGCCGGUUGGGAGAGGUAAGAGACCUAGUUUCCUGCCCUCAGGAAGCUUAGCAUCUUAGAGGCAUCAGGCUAACCCCUUUAUUGUCUCCCACCCCAGGGCCUUGGCAGCUGCCCUUUCCUUCGCCUGGAAUGCUCUGUUCUGAGCUCUACAUCUCCAGGUUUCCUCAGAUAAGCUACUCAGGCCACAGUGAGUAAGGCAGCCCCUUCCUUUCCCCCACCUCCAGUUAUCCUCCUUCAUGUCCUACUGUUUGUUUCCUUCACGGCACUUUAACACAAUCUGUAAUUAUCUCAUUUGUUUGUUUGUUUAUUGUCUGUCUUCUCUACUGGAAUGGAAGUUCCAAGAGACAGUAGGGAUCAUGCCUGUCUAAUUCAGUGCUGUAAUGCCAGCACCUGGCACUGGGCCUACCACAUAGUAGGUGCUAAAUAUGUGUUCAGUAAAAGAAUGGACAAAUUCUUUCACUGAAGUGCCACAAGAAUCCUCGGUGAUGGUGAGCAUUAUUAUUCCCAUUUUACAGAUGAAGAAAUGAAGGCUCAGUCACCUGCCCAAGGUCAUACCACUAGGAAGCAGUACAGCCAGAUUUCUAAUGUAAGUCUCUGAUUCCAGAUGUGAGGGAAGGAGGUAGGGACCAUCUUUCCUAACCUUCAAUGCACCUGGCUCCUGUUCCUGUUUGUCUGUGGGUGUCUCUACUCCCAUCCCAGGCAUCCCCACAGAAACCUGUGCAGAAAAGCGAGAAGGACAGUUAAAACCUGUAAAGAAUGUGAAUUUGGGGCACCCGGGUGACUCAGUUGGUUAAGC